AGAGUGCAAUGAAUGGAGAUAUAUACACAGAGUGCAAUGAAUGGAGAUAUAUACACAGAGUGCAUAUAUCUCCAUUCAUUGCACUCUGUGUAUAUAUCUCCAUUCAUUGCACUCUGU